AUUGAACGCUGGCGGCAUGCCUUACACAUGCAAGUCGAACGGUAACAGGUUAAGCUGACGAGUGGCGAACGGGUGAGUAAUGUAUCGGAACGUGCCCAGUCGUGGGGGAUAACUGCUCGAAAGAGCAGCUAAUACCGCAUACGACCUGAGGGUGAAAGCGGGGGAUCGCAAGACCUCGCGCGAUUGGAGCGGCCGAUAUCAGAUUAGGUAGUUGGUGGGGUAAAGGCCUACCAAGCCGACGAUCUGUAGCUGGUCUGAGAGGACGACCAGCCACACUGGGACUGAGACAAGGCCCAGACUCCUACGGGAGGCAGCAGUGGGGAAUUUUGGACAAUGGACGCAAGUCUGAUCCAGCCAUGCCGCGUGCGGGAAGAAGGCCUUCGGGUUGUAAACCGCUUUUGUCAGGGAAGAAACGCUCUGGGUUAAUACCUCGGGGUAAUGACGGUACCUGAAGAAUAAGCACCGGCUAACUACGUGCCAGCAGCCGCGGUAACAC
rnacentral:rRNA from 1 species